rnacentral:rRNA from 1 species
ACGAUUGAAGCCAGUCGUACCUUCGGGUAAUCAGCCUUUCGGGUGCGAUUCUGUGGGGUUUGAGGAGCUUUAACACCUUCAUGCUUUGCAUAUUCGUGCUCUUGGGUGUACUUGCCCGUGUGGUUGGUUAACAUCAAUUUCGGGCACCAUAAAAUGACUGGAGGAAUGUAGCUUCGAUCUUGUAUUGAAGUGUUAUAGCCUUUGGUAGAUGUGGUGAUCGAGAUUGAGGAUUGCAACGGAUACCCUUCGGGGCUACCUGUCUGAUCUCUGAUCGUUGCUCUGGUGCCGAAAGCUUGCUUACGGUUAUCAAAGUCGAUGGUCAAUAGGUUAGAAUGGGUUAAAUUCGUUAAGGAUGUUGACGUA